rnacentral:lncRNA from 10 species
CCAGCCAGCAGUGGCAACCCGCUCGGGUCUCCUUCCGUGCUGUGGAAGCUUUGUUCUUUUGUUCUUUGCAGUAAAUCUUGCUAUUGCUCACUCUUUGGGUCCACACUGCUUUUAUGAGCUGUAACACUCACCACGAAGGUCUGCAGCUUCACUCCUGAAGCCAGGGAGACCACGAGCACAGCAGGAGGAAGGAACAACUCCAGACGCGGUGCCUUAAGAGCUGUAACAGUCACCGCGAAGGUCUGCAGCUUCACUCCUGAGCCAGCAAGACCACGAACCCACCAGAAGGAAGAAACUCAGAACACAUCUGAACAUCAGAAGGAACAAACUCCAGACACGCCACCUUAAGACACAUGGCGACUUUCAAGAAUUCCAUUAAUUUGAGUGACUCUUCAAAAUCCUAUCUCAAAUAUGUUUUCCAGCUAACUAUAUAUUUUUAAAGAACAAAUGUAUGUUAUUUAUAUACUGGGUUUCUUGACAACUUGAUAUUAAACAAUGGCUUACUAUGCCAGAUUUAAAAUGUAUUUAUUUAAAUGUGCCAUAAUUAAUAAGCAACUUGAAAUUUUGGGACUGACAUGAAAACAUAUUUGUCUAUCUCUGAUUUGCUCUUCUGAAGCCUGGCCAUACUUCUUAGUCUUGAUUCUCUGGCUCUCAGGGAACUGCUGAAAAAUUUCUGAGGUCUUAAGAUCACUUUCUGUAAUUUGAACUCUAUUCUGAGGCCAUCCUUUGUAGUUGUAUAGUUUCAAGCCUGAGAUUAAUACACAUUUAAUCUUUUAAAAUUAUUGCCCAGUGUCUCCUUAGGUUUGUCACAAUAUUUACCUUAAAAAGGGGUAUCCCUUAAAGGAAAAAUGUCUUAAAUUUAGCAAUAGGCUUUGGUAGAUAAGAAGUAGGUUUUAUUAUAAAAAUAAUUGAAAGAAAUAAGAGUUUUUGUUUCCUCCUUCAGGGCCACUUAAGUGACCCUUAGAAUUCUCAAUGUUGAUUUUGACUGCUUUAAGUGUAGUGUGUGCGUGCGUGCGUGUGUGUGUCCCAUUUCCUAGUUUAAUUUCAAGUCUUACAUUUUCAAAUUUUAAAACCUAGCUAAUGUCUCACUUCUUCAAAGAAAUCCUGGAUGAAGGAAGCUAAAUUGUCUCCAUCCACAGUAGUUCCAUAAUCUCUGUUAAUCAGUUGUCAGGGAUCUUAGUAUUGCAUCAUCCUUCCUCAUGACCUGUAUUGUUCACCUUUUUUGGGGUCCUUCAGAUGACCACUGAACUUCUCAAUGUUGGCUUUACUUGAAGAUAAUUAUGCUGCCUUAUUUAACUUGCCAGGGGUAAAACAAGUGUGUGUGUGUUUUUUUUAAUAAAUGCUUGGAAAAAUUGAAAAUUUUCACCAUUCCCCUUCUUUCUUGCUAAUGAGAAAUGGGGCUGGGAUGACUCUCUAGUGAGUAGACCAAGGACCGCAGGGAUUUUGUCAUUUCUGUUGGCAGAACAGGAGAAGGAAGAGGUGGCUCCACAAUGGGAUAGGAGCAGGUGUUGGGGAAUAGAGGAAAUUUCUGUGUCAUUAGGAGCUGAAAGUAUACUGGAGGCCGCUGAAACUCCAUGGACUUAAUUGUUCAUUCAUUCAUUCAUUCAUUCCACAAAUAUUUUUCAGAAUGUUUGUAUUUUCAGAAUGCCUCCUCUGUGUAGGGUGGCAGGAUGAAAGACAUUCGUGUGCCCUGGAGCUUUUAUUCCAGGUUAACUAGCUCUGCUUUCUGGUGUGUCUUGGUUCCUCUUUGUAGCGGCUCUGUGUUCUCCCUUACCUGUGUUUUUCCAGGCUCAGGGUUCUCUGUGAUCAACAUACAUUCAGCAGAGGAUAUGCAACUAAAUGGGUCCAUCCAAUGAAGCGAAUGAAUAGUAGAAAGAAGCAAUGGAGUCCACAGGCUCAGCUGUACCCCCAUCAAAAACUCUGCCUCUCACCUGUGUGCUGGUCCUCUCCAGCAGGCAUUCUCUUUGAGAAUGCUUGAAUGGGAUUAGAGACAACCGAGAAGAGCAGAAGUGAAGACCAUGUAAUUACAGAAACAAAUGCUUGGUACUGAACAACCUGGUCUCGGGGGCUAUUUUUGGCUGCCUGGUCCUGGUUAACUCAAGACCGAGCCCUCAGUUCCCUUCCUCCUUACCCUUCCUGUGUUUCUAUGUGUCCACCUCUGCUCAUUUACUGAAAUACCAAUGACUUCUGUGCUUUUAUCUCCCGCUUUAUUUUCUUGCCUCAGGUUCAGCUCAUACCAGACAAGCCCAUGCCGUAUUUUCACUUGGAUGUUUUCCCAUCAGGACAAACUCCACCUGGCAAGGCUGAGCUCACUCUGCUCCGUCCUAGCUUAGCUUCUUCUCCUAGAAACAUUUCCCUGUUUCUGUUUGCAGUGAUAACAUGCUCCCCACUACACAGACUCAAAGUCAUCUCGGACUCAUCUUGCUCAUUCUCAUUUCCAAUCAACUUCCAAGUUCUGUCAAACAUUUCCUUAAAAGGUUUUCCCCCUCCUUUUCUUUCUAUUCCUACUGUUAAUCCUCCGUACCUAAUCGCUCUUUAACCUCUUAACUGGUUCCUCUACAACCUCAACCACCGCAUUUUGCCUGACAUACUAAUGCUAGCAUAUUAUUUUUAAAUAUAUUAAAAAAUCACAUUGAAAAAGUUUUAGAGACUUCGUUUUGCCAAUGAAAUAAAGAUUACACAAGACCACACGGUUAGAGAGACUUAAGGUUAGAACCCGGGAUUUUUUGUGCUUCAAUUCUAACACUUUUUCUACUAAAGCAUACUGUGUCUUAUAAAUUCCAGCGCAGGGAUACAUUAUUUGUCCUAUUUUAUCUCUAAAUGCUUUAGUUCUUUAUACUUUGUUUUAAUCUAUAAGUUGCUUCAGUUUCUUUUGGAGGUAGGGAAGAGAUCAUAAAACUUGGAAAUCAAAACAAAUGUUGGUUAAAAUAAAAAUGCUGGCUUUACAUUUUGGGUGUUUGGAUGGUUUCUGAUUCAGAAUUCUCUCAGCAUUGACUGCUGCUUCCAGGGAGAGCAUCUCUGUUCUGGCUGGGCUGGAGGUAGCUGUGGGUCUUGUCA